GAUGAACGCUGGCGGCGUGCCUAAUACAUGCAAGUCGAGCGAACAGACGAGGAGCUUGCUCCUCUGACGUUAGCGGCGGACGGGUGAGUAACACGUGGAUAACCUACCUAUAAGACUGGGAUAACUUCGGGAAACCGGAGCUAAUACCGGAUAAUAUAUUGAACCGCAUGGUUCAAUAGUGAAAGACGGUUUUGCUGUCACUUAUAGAUGGAUCCGCGCCGCAUUAGCUAGUUGGUAAGGUAACGGCUUACCAAGGCGACGAUGCGUAGCCGACCUGAGAGGGGGAGCGGGCAAAAGGGAAAUGGGGAACGGGCCAGACCCCUAGGGGAGGCAGGAGGAGGGAAUUUUCCGGAAUGGGAGAAAGGCUGAAGGAGCAAAGGCGGGGGGGGGAAGAAGGUCUUCGGAAUGGAAAACGUUGUUAAUAGGGAAAAAAAAAUGGGGAAGGAAAUAUGGACGGCUUGACGGUAACUAAUCAGAAAGCCAAGGCUAAAUAAGU
rnacentral:rRNA from 1 species